rnacentral:rRNA from 1 species
AAGUCGUAACAAGGUUUCCGUAGGUGAACCUGCGGAAGGAUCAUUAUCGAAAUUAUUGGUGAGGGUUGUAGCUGGCCUUUCGAGGCAUGUGCACGCUCGAGCCCUUAAUCCACUUUACACCUGUGCACUUAAUGUAGGUCGCCCUUAAAAAAGGUGACCUAUGUCUUAUCAUCAACCCAUCGUAUGUCUCAUAGAAUGUAAUCGAUAUCCUCGCCCUAAAAAAGCGUUGAUAAACUUAUACAACUUUCAACAACGGAUCUCUUGGCUCUCGCAUCGAUGAAGAACGCAGCGAAAUGCGAUACGUAAUGUGAAUUGCAGAAUUCAGUGAAUCAUCGAAUCUUUGAACGCAUAUUGCGCUCUUUGGUAUUCCGAAGAGCAUGCUUGUUUGAGUAUCAGUAAACACCUCAAAUCCUUCAAUUUGUUUUGAAGGCUUUGGACUUGAGCAAUCCCAACACCAGUCUUUACGAUCGGUGGAGGGUUGCUUGAAAUGCAGGUGCAGCUGGACAUUCUCCUGAGCUAUAAGCAUAUUUAUUUAGUCCCGUCAAACGGAUUAUUACUUUUGCUGCAGCUAACAUAAAGGGAGUCUGACCAUAUUGGCUGACUGAUGCAGGAUUUCACAAGGGUCGGCAACGAUUCUUGUAAACUCGAUCUCAAAUCAAGUAAGACUACCCGCUGAACUUAA